rnacentral:lncRNA from 1 species
GGUCAGAGAGAUGUUUCCAAGUCACUAUUUUUCUGAACUCAUAAAAUCCUUUAGACAAUCUGAUGGGAUGGAUGUUCAACCCCAUUAAAAUGACCAUAAGGUUUAUAUAGUACCCCCCAUUAAACCAUUAUUAAAUAGGGAGACUUGAAUGAUCAUAUUUGAUACUGUAUGGUAAUAUAAAACACUUAUUGUGGCAGGUAGCCUAGUGGUUAGAGCGUUGGACUAGUAACUGUAAGGUUGCAAGUUCAAAUCCCUGAGCUGACAAGGUACAAAUCUGUCAUUCUGCCCCUGGUGACUACCUCAAAAAGCUGGUUGAGAGAAUGCCAAGAGUGUGCAAAGCUGUCAUCAAGGUGGCUACUUUGAAGAAACUCAAAUAUAAAAUAUAUUUUGAUUUGUUUAACACUUUUUUGGUUACUACAUGAUUCCACAUAUGUUAUUUCAUAGUUUUGAUGUCUUCACUGUUAUUCUACAAUGUAGAAAAUAGUAAAAAAUAAAGAAAAUCCCUGGAAUGAGGAGGUGUGUCUAAACUUUUGUCUAGUACUGUACAUAUGGACAUACUAUAAAGUAUGUGCAUCAAUAGACUCUUAAGGAUUCAAGUGGAACUGAGAUGAGGAAGUGAAUCUGUAGGCCUAUGUGAUUAUGUUACAAUUAAGUUACACUUGUUAAAUCCACUUCAAUCAGUGUAGAUGAAGGGGAGGAGACAGGUAGGAAUCAAGAAUGGUCCACCACACAAAGGACAUCCAGCCAACUUGACACAACUGUGGGAAGCAUUGGAGUCAACAUGGGGCCAGCAUCUCUGUGGGACGCUUUCUACACCUUGUAGUGUCCAUUUCUUAAUGAGUUGAGGCUGUUCAGGACAAAAAAGAGGGGGGACACUCAAUAUUAGGAGCGUGUUCUUAAUGUUACUUUAUGUAAUGGCACAGAUUUGAAUGAUUUAUGUUAUGUAUUUUAUCUAUUGAAAUAUAGUUUGGAUAUAUUUUAAAAUGUGGUUUCAUGGUGAUUUAUAAUUUUUUCCAGAAUCUCCAACCACCUCAGAGAUCAGUCUCUCCAGUACCCAGUCAUCUGUCCAUGAAGAGUGACUUCUCUAUGGCUCAUCCUAUACACUUUAGUGAUGGAUCAGGGACCUUUGACCCCAGAAUCUCCAAGCAAACUCAGUCUCUCCAGAGAUCAGUCUCUCCAGUACCCAGUCAUCUGUCCAUGAAGAGCGACUUCUCUAUGGAUCAUCCUAUACAUUUUAGUAGUGGAUCACGGACCUUUGACCCCAGAAUCUCCAAGCAAACUCAGUCUCUCCAGAGACCAGUCUCUCCAGUACCCAGUCAUCUAUCCAUGAAGAGUGACUUCUCUAUGGAUCAUCCUAUACAUUUUAGUAAUGGAUCAGAGACCGUUGGAAGCAGAGGCUACUACCACACUCAGACAGCACAGUGUACUGUUCCCAGCUGUCUGUCUAUGAACAGUGACUUCUCCAUGGAUCGUCCUGUUAAUUCCAGUGGUGGAAGAUCAAUCACCUUUGACCGAAGGUACGUCACCAGAUUUUUGUUGUUGUAAUUUCAGAAUGUUCAAGAUGUCAUAUAGCUAUGUUGUUGUAAUUUGUUGUAACUGAGUUUAUUAGAGUAAUUACUGCACCCUCCUAUAUCUCUAGUGGAUGGUCUACUCUGUUAGUGGAUCAGUAUCUCUCUCUCUCUCUCUCUCCUUUAUCUCUGUAUUGGAUGGUCUACUCUGUUAGUGGAUCAGUAUCUCUCUCUCUCCUUUAUCUCUGUAGUGGAUGGUCUACUCUGUUAGAGGAUCAGUCUCUCUCUCUCCUUUAUCUCUGUAGUGGAUGGUCUACUCUGUUAGAGGAUCAGUAUCUCUCUCUCUCCUUUAUCUCUGUAGUGGAUGGUCUACUCUGUUAGAGGAUCAGUAUCUCUCUCUCCUUUAUCUCUGUAGUGGAUGGUCUACUCUGUUAGAGGAUCAGUAUCUCUCUCUCUCCUUUAUUUCUGUAGUGGAUGGCCUACUCUGUUAGAGGAUCAGUAUCUCUCUCUCCUUUAUCUCUGUAGUGGAUGGUCUACUCUGUUAGAGGAUCAGUAUCUCUCUCUCCUUUAUCUCUGUAGUGGAUGGUCUACUCUGUUAGAGGAUCAGUAUCUCUCUCUCCUUUAUCUCUGUAGUGGAUGGUCUACUCUGUUAGAGGAUCAGUAUCUCUCUCUCCUUUAUCUCUGUAGUGGAUGGUCUACUCUGUUAGAGGAUCAGUAUCUCUCUCCUUUAUCUCUGUAGUGGAUGGUCUACUCUGUUAGAGGAUCAGUAUCUCUCUCUCCUUUAUCUCUGUAGUGGAUGG